CGCUCCCGCCCGACCUCGCCGCUUCCUUCCGCCGCCGGCCGUCGGUGACCGUCACGCCUUCCCCCGUCUCGGCGCUAUGAGAGCCGCCGCGCCUCCCAGCCAGCGCCGCGCUCCGAAGAAUUACUGAAGUUUGGAUUGCUGUUCAGAUACUAUAAUCUGCAAUAAGUGGCAAUGUCAAGGGUUCCCACCCCACCUCCUCCUGGGGAGAUGUCCAGUGGACCUGUGGCUGAAAGCUGGUGUUACACACAGGUCAAAGUAGUAAAAUUUUCCUACAUGUGGACCAUAAAUAACUUCAGCUUCUGCCGAGAAGAGAUGGGUGAAGUUUUAAAGAGUUCUACAUUUUCAUCAGGGCCAAAUGACAAAAUGAAGUGGUGCCUGAGAGUGAAUCCAAAGGGAUUGGAUGAUGAAAGCAAAGACUACUUGUCAUUAUACUUGCUUUUAGUCAGUUGUCCAAAAAGUGAAGUCAGAGCAAAAUUCAAAUUUUCACUGCUGAAUGCGAAAAGAGAAGAAACUAAAGCAAUGGAAAGCCAAAGAGCGUAUCGGUUUGUGCAAGGCAAGGAUUGGGGUUUUAAGAAAUUUAUCCGAAGAGAUUUUUUACUAGAUGAAGCUAAUGGUCUUUUACCCGAUGACAAGCUUACAUUAUUUUGUGAGGUAAGCGUGGUCCAAGACUCAGUAAAUAUAUCAGGACAGUCUAACACAAACACUUUGAAGGUACCUGAAUGUCGACUAGCAGAAGAUUUAGGGAAUCUCUGGGAAACAACAAGAUUUACAGAUUGCAGUUUUUAUGUAGGAGGACAAGAAUUCAAAGCACAUAAAUCCGUCCUUGCAGCACGAUCUCCAGUUUUUAAUGCAAUGUUUGAACAUGAAAUGGAAGAAAGCAAAAAGAACCGCGUGGAAAUAAAUGAUGUAGACCCUGAAGUUUUUAAAGAAAUGAUGAGAUUCAUUUACACAGGAAAAGCACCAAACCUUGAAAAAAUGGCUGACAAUUUGUUGGCAGCUGCAGACAAAUAUGCACUGGAACGGCUGAAGGUCAUGUGUGAGGAAGCACUCUGUAGUAACCUCUCGGUAGAAAAUGUUGCUGACAUUCUUAUCCUCGCAGAUUUGCACAGCGCUGAACAGUUAAAAGCACAAGCAAUAGACUUUAUUAACAGGUGCAGUGUUCUUAGACAACUUGGGUGUAAAGAUGGGAAAAACUGGAAUAGCAAGUAAGUUUCCCUGCUUCCUGAUGUUCUGUACAAACACUGCUACAUAGACCGCAGAUCUUAAGAACUGUUACUUCAUUUCCACACUACUGAGGCCUGUCACUCACUCCAAGCAACAGACAUAAUGGAGACAGCAGGCUGGAAGUCCAUGAUCCACUCCCACCCUCACUUAGUAGCAGAGGCCUUUCGCGCACUUGCGUCUGCACAGUGCCCACAGUUUGGCAUUCCACGCAAACGGCUAAAACAGUCCUGAAAUCUUCCAUGAACUUAAAGAAAUUGAAUUGACUCUACUCCUCCAUGUCCAGAGGUGUUUUCACAAACCAUAAUGAGAGUUUUUGUUAUCCUUGUCCGCAAAACAGAAGCUGAAAAAGCCAGUUGUUUGCUUUUCAGAUGGAUAAUUUAUGGUUUAAUCCUCAGCUUUAAAUUAGACUGAUUACUCUAAUUCACUGAAAGGCCUUAAAUUAUCUUCAAUGACUCUAGUCCAUAUAGUCUAAUGUAUCUUGAUUUUUUUAUUAUUAUUAUUUUUUAAUGUGCCUUGUCUUUUUGACUAGGCUCUGCAGGAUUGCACUAGCUCCAUAAUGCAGUAAAGUUGAUAACUGAAGAUUAAUUUUUUGAAAGGGAUCUUCCAUUAUUUUCAGAAGAAAAAAGGAAAAAAAAAAAGAUUAUUAUAGUUUGGUCCUGUGCUAACUGGAAGGUUUGAACUAGCCUCUCACUGAAAGCGCUUGAACCGGAGGCACAAAUGCACCCUAGACAAGUGCUGUGUAUGGGGAGAGCCUGUUGACCUCCAGCGAGUACCCACAGGCUAUUUAUGGCAAUAUACUGCUUUGAACAUAAUUUAUUUUUCAUUGUGGGGGCAAAUAUGCAAUGGUUUGGCCCGAAAAUGUAUUUUCAUUACAGUUUGUAAUGCUUAUUGUGUGUGUGUCAAAGCUGUCCGAACGGUGAAAAGAAACACAGAAUAUGAACCUCUUGCUUGUGUUUCUUUGUGGUCCAUCGCUAGUUUACAUUUAAUCCAGAACUGAACGAGAGGUGAAGAGUUCAAUGUGAAAAGAGACAAGUUUUGUAUAUGGAAAAAAUAUAUAUCCCACAUGUACGGUUACAUAGCAAAGUAAAGAACGCAUAGGAUGACCAAAUGUAAAUUGAAGAAAAUGGGCCAAAUGGAUUCUUAAUAUGCACUUUUAAGGUGUAACUUUUGUAUGUUGUGUGGUACAUAUAUAUUUUGCUUUUGAUGAAUCAAUGAGGUACAGGUAAUUGUGGCUUAACUUUUUAGAUACGUUUUCAGAUGCCCACAGCCACAUGGGAUUUAGUUUUGUUAGAAGAGAAAGGCAUGCCUUUUUAAGACUCGUUUGAAGGUGACUAUUGCAAGCUUUCAUAUUUAAGUGACAGAAUACUUUCGCUUAUUUGAAAGAGGUAUGUGGAAGGCAAAAUUGCAGAGGAGAGGCUUUCACCAUCUCAACACAUGCACAGCUUCUCUUAGCACCUGGGAAGCUCCAUAUGCAUCAGGAAGACACUUUCCAUGGAAUGUCAGAUGUAUCAGCAAGCAGCGACUUGCUCAGUCUUGCAUUUCAGUUAUUGUAUAGCAUGGUGGAUGGUAUUGAAACUCUGCAUAAUGUGAAAAGGAUGAAACGUUUAUUAAAUGCUUCUCAUGGGCCAGUUCUUUAUUCCAUGAACCUUAGCUUUAAUACCAGUGUCCUCGGUGUUUGAUAGCUUUGUUUACAAUUGAGAGGACAAGUUUGCAGUAGUGCACACACAAAAAUGUUUCCUGAGUUAUUACAUUGAGUUUACUGUAAUAGUGAUGUGUUGCAUUUCUUCUUUGGGAAGACUUGGGUAUUAGCAAUGGGGAUUGGGAGGAGAUCUCACCUAAUUUAUGAUCAUGUUUGGAUAAAGGCUUUACUUUGCCUGUUUGAAAACAAAAAAUAUAUGCAGGGAACAGAGAGGAGGAGUUGUUGACUGUCUGACGGUCUUUUCUCCAUCCUCAUUUCAUUGAGGUUCUUCUGAAUUGUGCUAAAUGAAGUUUUUAGAGGAAAGAAUGUCUACUUUUAUAGUCUGGCAAAGGCAAAUUGGACAAAAAAAAAACCCGCUCAUGCUCACCCUAAUUUCUUAACAAAAUAAUCUCUAAACAUGCAUUCUUUUUCUUACCUUCCAUCUAAAUCUUUUACGAUAAUUAAAGAAUAAAACCAGAAACUUUUAAUAGCACGUAAGGCAUCAAAUUAUAUAUUUACAGAGAUUUAAAUCAAUUUUUAAAUAUUUAUCUAAAAUGAGAUCUCAGAAGCAUUUUUCACAAUGAGAUGUGAAGGUAAUUGUUCCCUCCAAAGCAGUGCUGCUUUUGCUGCACUGUGCAAUGUGUGCGGACACAUUAUGCCCUCAAACCCACCACUGAUAAAACUUGCAGCCCUAACGAACUGAGUGACUUGAAUAUUCAGUACUGCAAUCAUUGUGCAGUUCGGCUCGUUCUAAAGUAACAACGUGCAGUAAUCUAAUGGAAAGCUUAAGGAUUUUACAAAGACCCUUUUUUCAGAAGCUUAAUAGCACACUUGUACCAAAAAAUGUCAGCCACUGUGCUGCAAUAUCACCUACAGAGUGAAGCGUCCACUUUUCAAGUUAGGCAGCGUAUACCGUACAUGAUGCCAACAGGAGAGAAAACAGACCACGUAAUCUGAUUGGAUUUGGGUUUAUUUAUUAGGUAUGUUUUGAUGUUUGGUCAGCUCUUAAGAAAAAAGGUAAAUCAGUUGCUGUAUUCUUGAGUGCACUAAAAAUCACCUCUUCUGUUCUUUGAACACAUGCGGUGUUUUGUCUUAUUGAAACGGGAUAGCUGUUAAUUGCAACCCUCUCCUUUGGAUUCAGCAGCUUGUUUUCAUCCCCUACAACUCAAACACUUGCCCUUUAAAGCAUCAGUUGUCAGUUCUGAGUGCAGCAGGUAGAAAACUACAUCAUACGAUGGACAGAUUGGGGGUUGGUUUUUCUUUUUCAGGAUGGAAUUUUAGGAUUUUUUUCUUAGUUUUGUAUACAGAUUAGGAAUAUAUUGUAUGAAGGUGCCACGUUUUGGCUUGCCAACACUACUCCCUUGGAUAUAUGUGAACCACCGCUUGCAUACUUUUCUGGGGAGAACCCUGCAUGUGUGUGUCCUGUGUGUGUGUGCGUGUGUGUAUGUAUGACUGUGCGGUGUUUUUUGUCAAGAAUGACUUUCUAAAUAUAAGGACUCAAUUUGCUGUUAAAAUGCUAUUAUGUAUUAUAUAUAUAUAUAUAAAUAUAUAUAUAUUUGUUUUCCAUUUGAACCUCUCCUAAGGAGAUGCUUUGGGUGGAAGAGGCUUCAAUAAACAGUCCUCCUUUUCUAGUCCAUUUACUGCAUGCAGAAGUGUAAACACAUCGUGCCUUUUUAGGAAGCCGUUGCAAUGAAGGGAAGAUUUAACAGGAAACCAAGUCUUUUUAAAAGGUAUUAUUUCAAGGUGAAGGAGAACGUUUGGAACACAGUAGAGACUUGAGGCAGAAGUUACAGAUCAUGCUUUGAGCUCUGUUGCACGUUGACUGCUGCUUUUGCAGUUAAGUUUCGCUGCAAGAGUUGUGAAAUAACAGAUACAAGUUGAAUAAUGGUCUGUUUUGUGGAAGCGUGAAAACAUUUGCUGUUACAACCUGAGUGUGUGUCAAAAUCACAGACACUAAGUUAGUUUUAUAAGUCACUCUUACUCUGAUGUUUUUCUCAACAAUGGGUGUUUAAUACGGCAUUCACCUUUCUGCAGGUCAGUAGGAGACCUAUGUGGAGAUUAUUCCUUUUAAAUCCUCAUGGAAAGGCUUCUCCCUUGGGGGAGAAUAAAGUGAUGUGCAGUGUUUGAAACUGUGUUUCGUAAGGCAGUGAAUUGCAGAUGUGAGGUGUUGCUGCCUGAAAUGUUGAGUUAGGCUGAAUUUUACAACUGGUUGGUAAAAUACCUUGAUAUCUUUUUAUUUUGACAAGUGGAAUGUUCUUUAUCUGAUGUUGGUAUCUCCUGUAGUGCAGAGCUUAGCUCGUUAGCUAGCAAGUCACUGACUUAAUUUCAUAACUUGGCUUCUGCUUACAGUAAAUGGACUAUGUUUGUAAAGGGAAUUCACUAUUUCAAGUGUUUUGCAAGGAACUUCACUGUAUUUGUAACCUGUUUUUUGAAGGCUUAAGAUAAAUGAGUCCUAUUUUAGAAAUCAAGCCAGUGAAAUGACUUGGACCUGUUUUGGGGUGGAAAUGAUUAAGAGAAUUCAGACGUGUAAACAGUCGUAUCGAACCAUCCAGCCUUUUUUAUCAGCUGAUGUUAAUGGUGAAAUACUUUUUGUACCUUGUUGCUGAAAAUAUUUUUGCGUUUCAGCACAUCAAGUUACAAUAAAGUUGUUACUUAUACAGAA